AAUAUUGCGCAAUGGAGGAAACUCUGACGCAGCGACGCCGCGUGAGCGAUGAAGGUCUUCGGAUCGUAAAGCUCUGUCCUUGGGGAAGAAGAUCGACAGAUUUGACGGUACCCGAGAAGGACGCCCCGGCUAACUACGUGCCAGCAGCCGCGGUAAUACGUAGGGGGCAAGCGUUGGCCGGAAUUAUUGGGCGUAAAGGGUGCGUAGGCGGCCUUUUAAGUCAGAUGUGAAAGCCCACGGCUUAACCGUGGGACUGCAUUUGAAACUGGAGGGCUUGAGUAUCGGAGAGGGUAGUGGAAUUCCCAGUGUAGCGGUGGAAUGCGUAGAUAUUGGGAGGAACACCAGUGGCGAAGGCGACUACCUGGACGAAAACUGACGCUGAGGCGCGAAAGCUAGGGGAGCAAAC
rnacentral:rRNA from 1 species